ncrna:Acinetobacter ursingii NIPH 706 NMT1 RNA
GAAUAGAGUAUAAGCUGUCAACAUAUUGAUUUAUUUAUUAUGUGGGUCAUUGCUCUAAGC